UUAAGCUAUGUUAAUUUAAAUGUUCACAUCUUCCCUUUGAAAAAUCUUGUUCAUACAUGAUGAUUGAGAAAUGGGAGAUAUCAUUGAUGCUUGCAACUUCGUCAAUUGAUCAGCAGGUUGCAUUUGUUUAAAAUGUUCUUUUAAAAAGUUUUAGAAACUUAAAUUAGCAUCCUAGAUAUGUGAUAGGUGUUGUGGUAUAGGUGGGGGCAUCUUUAUUCCCACAUCGGUCAUGAGUCAAGAGGGAAUAUGACUUAUAUGGAUUGGAAUCUUCUUUCCCACGUGAGAUGCCUUUUAAAGGACAAAAUCGUGAGGUCCCUUGCGACAGCACCAGAGGCCAAAGCGGACAAUAUCUCACAUAUGCGAGCGCGGAGGCAUAAGCCAACCAUCCGAGCUAUCCGACCCCUUGAUCCAUGACCGCAACAUUGGUGUCAUCUAUAGGAAUGCCUCCUGUCCCCACAUACAUACUCUCUCUUGACUGGAGGGGUUAUGUUGUGGUAUAGAUGGGGGCAUCUUUAGUCCCACAUCAGCUAUGAGUCAAGAGGGAGUUGGCUUAUAUGGAUUGAAACUUUCUCUCCCACGUGAGGCCAAAAUUGUUAAAGGCGCAAGGCGCAAAGGGUGCCAGGAGCCGAGGCGCAAGGGGUGCCAGGUGCCUAGGCGCAAGCGUUUGAGCAAAGCGAGGUGCACAUUUAUUAAAAAUAAGAUGAAAUAUGCAUAAUAUAAAAAUUAUAUAUUUUCAAAUUACAAUCAAAAUAUCAUUAAUAUUAAAAAUGCAAACUCAUUAAAGUUUCAACACAAAACACAUAGCAUACGAACAUUUAAGCAAAAUAUUGUUCAUAAUAAGCACACAAUAACAAAAUAAAAAUUACACUGACACAAGUAUAUAACUAAGUAGUCUAAAAUUUCAGUUAAAAGUUCUAGCUAAUCUUGUAAUAAAUAAGCAAUAGAUGUAAUCUCCUAGUAGUCCUCAUCAUCAUCAUCAAUAAUAAGAUCUUCUUCUUCAUCAGAUUUGUGAUCUCCUAUGUCUUGCUCUUCUUCUGAGUCCUCUAAAUCCUCAUCUGCAAGUUCUAAUCUUGAUGCUCUAGGCCUUAAGAAUAAAGCCCCCCCUCUUGAUGAAGAAGCAUUCGCACUAAUUUUUAUGCGAUAGGUAGGCUCAUCAACUCCAGCAACCCUAGCAACAGCAUCCCAAGUGAAAUUAUCAUCAUCAUACACUAACUCAACAUCAUCAUCAGAACUCUCAUCCAUUCUUCUCAUCAACCACUCAUUACUAUCAUCAAUGUCCUUCAAAGAAACAGGGUCAACGGUAUCGUGCCUAUUAUAUCGACGCCUCAAGGCUCUAUUGUAUUUCACAAAUAUCAAAUCAUGCAAGCGUUGUUGAGCAAGCCUAUUCCUCUUUUUGCUAUGAAGUUGCAAGAAUAAAAAUAUAAAAUAAUAAAUAAAAUUAUUUGAUAAUAUAACUACAUCCAAUCUAGAACGUCUUAAAACCAUCACACAUAAUAAUAAUAGAGUUACUUAGUGCUUAUAUGUGAAAACGCACUUUAAUUUCUUUCACAACUGCUAGCACUACAAGUGAGGCUAAAAACUCUCAUUGCAAACUUUUGCAAGUUUGGAGUUGAAGAUCCAUAUGCAACCUACCACUCAGCUGUUGAUUAAACAAGUGUCAAAGUGCUUUUAAAUUACAAAUAUAAACAAGCGUACAACUAAAUCUAUAAAGCAAAAUAAACUAAUUUAUUUUUCUGGUGAUUUUGUCUUUCUUUGCCUAACUGCCAUGGGUAUUCCAAAAAGGCCUUGAGCAUUUCUAUACUUGUUCAGCUCAUUUGUAAUCUUAUCUUGCAUUUCAAUAUUUGGAACUAGCCUUCGUAUACACUUGUAUAGGCCAUCCAUCACCUCUUCAUUUUGCUCAAUAUUGGAGUUUUUAUAAAAGAACUCAGGGAUUAGAUAAUGGCCAGUUGCGUGCAAAGGACGAUGUAGUUGACAUUUCCACCAAGCAUCAAUAAUUUUAAAGAUCUUGUAUCUCUCUUUUCUACCACUGAAAGACUUGGUAAUAGUUUUUUUUGCCUUAUCCAUAGCCUCAUAGAUAUAUCUCAAAGAAAGUUUUUUCUCCCCAUCCACCAAUCGAAGGACACGAACAAAAGGGCUAGACAACUUAAGGAUGUAAACAAUGUAGUUCAAAAUAUAGGCAUCAAAACAGUACUAACUGCUCUCUUGGCAGUUGACUCUUUUACCCAAGGUUUGGAGUUUCACUCUUCAGAAUUGAACAUCUUUCUCAAGUUGUUCUUCUGAUUAUAUAUUGAUUGAAGAGUGAUGAAGGUAGUUACAAAUCUAGUUUUAGCUGGCCUAAGCAGCUCUCUUUGUCCUGUGAAACUCCUCAUCAAGUUCACAAUGCUAGUUUUGCUAUAGAUGUACCCAUUCAAAAAAAUUGCCUUCUUCAAUGUUUUUUUAAUUGCUGAAAUUUCAGCAAUAUCCUCCAACAUCAAGUCAAUACAAUGGGCAGCACAUGGUGAUCAAUAUAAAUUUGGCUUCUUUGCCUCUAACAAUCUCUCUGUUCAAAAUUCAGAAAUUUGAAUAUUAAAUUACAAUUAUACUAAUUAAUUUCUUAAAAUGUAAAGAUGGAGAAGUUUAUUCAAAUUGAAUUUUACCUGCAGCUACAUAAUUAGAGACAUUGUCGGUCAUCACUUGAAUGAUAUUUGCUUUUUCAAUUUACUCUACCAUGUCAUCAAGCAAUUUGAAUAAGAAAUUUUCACUCUUCUAUGAGAAGCAUCAACAGAUUUUAUGAAUACUGAUCUUUUAGGAGAGUUCACUAAAAAGUUGAUUAUGUCCUUUGCAAUCUCAUUCUUCCAAUCGUCUGACAUAAUCAAGCAUCCAUACCCUUGCCCACUUUUCUUGGUGGCUCUUCAUCAAAUCUCUAGUAUACUCAACUUCUUUUUUUAACAAAGGGAUUCUAAUCUCAUGAUAACUUGAAGGUUUCACGCCAGGAUCAAAUUGUCCAAUUGCUUCAAUUGCAAUAGCAAAGCUUGGAUAAUUCACGUCAUUAAAUGGAAUGCCGGCAUCAUACCCACCUAGCCAACUCUCUAUAAGUCUUGUCUCUUAAUUCUUUUCUGCAAACUUCAUUGAUAGCAGAUUGCUUUUCUUUGCCUUCUUUUCUACUAUGAACAAUCAUUUCUGCAUCAAGAGUAAAAUACAAAUCUAUAAGAUCCUUUUCUUUUGGUUUCUUUGAGCUAGGUGCCUUGCUGCUGGCCGUAGAACUUCCACUUGUACCAUCACUUUUACUACAAGGAUCAACCAUCUGAAUUUCAUCUUUUUCAUCAACACCAUAGUCUUUCAUAUUAUCAAAAUCAGACAACAAAUUAUCUUGUUUCUUUUCCUCCUCUUUUCUUAACAUAUAAGUUUUAAUCUCUUCACAAAUAUGUGGUGGACAUUUUUGGCAACCUCUGGCAUUUCGAAACCCUCAACUAUAUGCUGUUUUGCCCGACAAAUCCCUCCUUUAGUCAUUUUUCCACAAAAAUUAUAAAUAAUAUCAUUUUUAUUUUUGCCCGUUGGGUUAGUCAAAUGUGCAUACUUUUACGUUGGAUCUUUUUUAGAUGACCCAUGGCUUUUGGAAUCCAUUUUAACCUCCUAAAAUAGAUGCCAAACAAUGAUAACGAAAUCAGCCCCCAAAAAAAAAAUUUAUUACAUACACUGUGGGUUGGUUAUGUGAUUCAAAAAAAAGGUCCAAAAAAAAAAGAAAAGAAAAGGGAGAAUGUAACCCAAAAAAAAGUAUUGCUGUGUUACAAAAUCGGAAAAAAAAGCCCAAAAAAGUUACUGUAGAUGACAAAAAAAGAAGGGACUUAGCCAACAAAAAAAAAGAAAAUGAUGAACAGUGCAAAAAAGGUUACUGUAGAUGACCCAAAAAAAGGAAC